UACGGAGGGUGCAAGCGUUAUCCGGAAUCAUUGGGUUUAAAGGGUGCGUAGGCGGCUUUGUAAGUCAGUGGUGAAAUAUGGCAGCUUAACUGUCAGGGUGCCAUUGAUACUGCGGAGCUUGAGUACAGAUGAGGUAGGCGGAAUUGACGGUGUAGCGGUGAAAUGCUUAGAUAUCGUCAAGAACACCUAUAGCGAAGGCAGCUUACUAGGCUGUAACUGACGCUGAGGCACGAAAGUGUGGGGAUCAAACAGG
rnacentral:rRNA from 1 species